rnacentral:rRNA from 1 species
UACGUAGGGUGCAAGCGUUGUCCGGAAUUAUUGGGCGUAAAGAGCUCGUAGGCGGCUUGUCGCGUCGGCUGUGAAAACCUGGGGCUCAACCCCGGGCCUGCAGCCGAUACGGGCAAGCUAGAAUUCGGUAGGGGAGACUGGAAUUCCCGGUGUAGCGGUGAAAUGCGCAGAUAUCGGGAAGAACACCCGUGGCGAAGGCGGCUCUCUGGAACGGUACUGACGCUGAGACGCGAAAGCGUGGGGAGCGAACAGG